rnacentral:rRNA from 1 species
UCAAGUUAUUAAGGGUGCAGGGCGGAUGCCUUGGCACUAGGAGCCGAUGAAGGACGUGAUAAGCUGCGAUAAGCUUCGGGGAGUUGCACGUAAACUUUGAUCCGAAGAUUUCCGAAUGAGGAAACUCACUUAGAGUAAUGUCUAAGUAUCAUUAAGUGAAUACAUAGCUUAAUGAGGGGAACUCAGGGAACUGAAACAUCUAAGUACCUGAAGGAAGAGAAAGAAAUUCGAUUCCGUAAGUAGCGGCGAGCGAACGCGGAUUAGCCCAAACCAAUAAAGUUUUCUUUAUUGGGGUUGCGGACAUAUUAUAACGAAGAGGUAUCGUAAUUGAAGAGGUUUGGAAAGACCCACCACAGAAGGUAAUAGUCCUGUAUGUUAAACGAGAAGACUUCAGAUAUGAUCCAGAGUACCACGGGACACGUGAAACCCUGUGGGAAGCAGGAGGGACCACCCUCCAAGGCUAAAUACUACCUAGUGACCGAUAGCGUAUAGUACCGUGAGGGAAAGGUGAAAAGAACCCCGGGAGGGGAGUGAAAUAGAACCUGAAACCCUGCACUUACAAGCUGUGGAAGCACAUUUCUUGUGUGACCGCGUACUUUUUGUAGAACGGGCCAACGAGUUACGUUAAGUAGCAAGGUUAAGCACUUAAGGUGCGGAGCCGUAGCGAAAGCGAGUUUUAACUGAGCGUUCAGUUACUUGACGUAGACCCGAAACCGGGCGACCUACCCAUGAGCAGGAUGAAGCGAAAGUAAAAUUUCGUGGAGGUCCGAACCCACGAGCGUUGAAAAGCUCGGGGAUGACUUGUGGGUAGCGGUGAAAUUCCAAUCGAGCCCGGAGAUAGCUGGUUCUCCCCGAAAUAGCUUUAGGGCUAGCCUCAAGGUGAGAGAUACGGAGGUAGAGCACUGAAUGUCCUAGGGGGUAUUGCACCUACCGAAGACUAUCAAACUCCGAAUGCCGUCAUCUUAUACUUGGGAGUCAGACUGUGGGUGAUAAGAUUCAUAGUCGAAAGGGCAACAGCCCAGAUCGUCAGCUAAGGUCCCUAAAUGUAAGUUAAGUGGUAAAGGAUGUGGGAUUGCACAGACAACCAGGAUGUUGGCUUAGAAGCAGCCACUCAUUCAAAGAGUGCGUAAUAGCUCACUGGUCGAGUGAUCCUGCGCCGAAGAUUUCCGGGGCUAAAACUUACUACCGAAGCUACGGCAUCAGUAAUGAUGGGUAGGGGAGCUUCCCAUACGGGUUGAAGCAUGACCGUAAGGACAUGUGGACAGUAUGGGAGUGAGAAUGUUGGCAUGAGUAGCGAGAUGUGGGUGAGAAUCCCACAGGCCGUAAACCCAAGGUUUCCAGGGGAAGGUUCGUCCGCCCUGGGUUAGUCGGGACCUAAGCUGAGGCCGAAAGGCGUAGGUGAUGGACAACAGGUUGAUAUUCCUGUACUACCGAUAACCGUUUGAGAGAAGGGAUGACACAGUAGGAUAAGCUAAGCACACUGUUGGUUAUGUGUGCCCAAGCAUUGAGGCAGUCAAAGUAGGCAAAUCCGCUUUGAUAAUGCUGGGAUGUGAUGGGGAGCGAAAUUUAGUAGCGAAGUAGCUGAUUUCACACUGUCAAGAAAAGUCUCUAUCGAGGUUAAAGGUACCCGUACCGCAAACCGACACAGGUGGGUGAGGAGAGUAUCCUAAGGCCAGCGAGAGAACUGUUGUUAAGGAACUCGGCAAAAUGACCCCGUAACUUAGGGAUAAGGGGUGCCACCAUCAGGUGGCCGCAGAGAAUAGGCCCAAGCGACUGUUUACCAAAAACAUAGGUUUCUGCUAAGUCGCAAGACGAUGUAUAGGAGCUGACGCCUGCCCGGUGCUGGAAGGUUAAGGGGAUCUGUUAGAGCAAUCGAAGCAGUGAACUUAAGCCCCAGUAAACGGCGGCCGUAACUAUAACGGUCCUAAGGUAGCGAAAUUCCUUGUCGGGUAAGUUCCGACCCGCACGAAAGGCGUAACGAUUUGGGCACUGUCUCAACAACAGACUCGGUGAAAUUGUAAUUCCGGUGAAGAUGCCGGAUACCUGCGACAGGACGGAAAGACCCCAUGGAGCUUUACUGUAGCUUGACAUUGGGUCUUGGUACUACAUGUACAGGAUAGGUGGGAGGCUUUGAAACCAGGACGCCAGUUUUGGCGGAGCCAUCCUUGGGAUACCACCCUUGUAGUACUGGGACUCUAACCAUAGGCCAUGAAUCUGGUCUUGGGACACUGUCAGGUGGGCAGUUUGACUGGGGCGGUCGCCUCCCAAAAGGUAACGGAGGCGCUCAAAGGUUCUCUCAGUACGGUCGGAAAUCGUACGUAGAGUGUAAAGGCAAAAGAGAGCUUGAUUGCAAGACAUACAGGUCGAGCAAGGAUGAAAAUCGGACUUAGUGAUCCGGUGGUUCUGCGUGGAAGGGCCAUCGCUCAACGGAUAAAAGCUACCCUGGGGAUAACAGGCUUAUCUCCCCCAAGAGUCCACAUCGACGGGGAGGUUUGGCACCUCGAUGUCGGCUCAUCACAUCCUGGGGCUGUAGUAGGUCCCAAGGGUUGGGCUGUUCGCCCAUUAAAGUGGUACGCGAGCUGGGUUCAGAACGUCGUGAGACAGUUCGGUCCCUAUCCGUCGCAGGCGUAGGAAAUUUGAGAAGACCUGUCCUUAGUACGAGAGGACCGGGAUGGACGUACCUCUGGUGUACCAGUUGUUCUGCCAAGGGCAUGGCUGGGUAGCUAUGUACGGAAUGGAUAAGCGCUGAAAGCAUCUAAGCGCGAAGCCAACUUCAAGAUAAGAUUUCCCACCGCAAGGGUAAGACCCCAGAAAGACUAUCUGGUUGAUAGGUCGAAGGUGUAAGUGCAGCAAUGUAUUUAGCUUAUCGAUACUAAUAGGUCGAGGACUUGACCAA